rnacentral:rRNA from 1 species
UGCAGUCGAGCGAUGGAUUGAGAGCUUGCUCUCAGGAAGUUAGCGGCGGACGGGUGAGUAACACGUGGGUAACCUGCCCAUAAGACUGGGAUAACUCCGGGAAACCGGGGCUAAUACCGGAUAAUAUUUUGAACUGCAUGGUUCGAAAUUGAAAGGCGGCUUCGGCUGUCACUUAUGGAUGGACCCGCGUCGCAUUAGCUAGGUGGUGAGGUAACGGCUCACCAAGGCAACGAUGCGUAGCCGACCUGAGAGGGUGAUCGGCCACACUGGGACUGAGACACGGCCCAGACUCCUACGGGAGGCAGCAGUAGGGAAUCUUCCGCAAUGGACGAAAGUCUGACGGAGCAACGCCGCGUGAGUGAUGAAGGCUUUCGGGUCGUAAAACUCUGUUGUUAGGGAAGAACAAGUGCUAGUUGAAUAAGCUGGCACCUUGACGGUACCUAACCAGAAAGCCACGGCUAACUACGUGCCAGCAGCCGCGGUAAUACGUAGGUGGCAAGCGUUAUCCGGAAUUAUUGGGCGUAAAGCGCGCGCAGGUGGUUUCUUAAGUCUGAUGUGAAAGCCCACGGCUCAACCGUGGAGGGUCAUUGGAAACUGGGAGACUUGAGUGCAGAAGAGGAAAGUGGAAUUCCAUGU